rnacentral:rRNA from 1 species
CCUACGGGGUGCAGCAGUGGGGAAUAUUGGGCAAUGGGCGCAAGCCUGAACCAGCAACGCCGCGUGAAGGAAGAAGGCUCUAGGGUUGGUAACUUCUUUUAAGAGGGAAGAGCAGAAGACGGUACCUCUUGAAUAAGCCACGGCUAACUACGUGCCAGCAGCCGCGGUAAUACGUAGGUGGCAAGCGUUGUCCGGAUUUACUGGGUGUAAAGGGCGUGUAGGCGGGCUGACAAGUCAGAUGUGAAAUUUCCGGGCUCAACCCCGGACCUGCAUUUGAAACUGUUGGUCUUGAGUAUCGGAGAGGCAGGCGGAAUUCGUAGUGUAGCGGUGAAAUGCGUAGAUAUUAGGCGGAACACCAGUGGCGAAGGCGGCCUGCUGGACGACAACUGACGGUGAGGCGCGAAAGCGUGGGGAGCAAACAGGAUUAGAUACCCGAGUAGUC